rnacentral:tRNA from 1 species
CUGGGCUUAGUCAAUGGCUUAAUCAAUUUUUCAAUAUAUAAUUAACCAAUGUUGAAGCCAGUAUACAAGGUUCAAUUCCUUGAGUUAUGG